rfam:Jatropha curcas cultivar GZQX0401 scaffold628_12, whole genome shotgun sequence.
GAAAUGGUGUUUUUAAACACCAAAAAAAGGAAAAAAAAAGCAUUU